GACGAACGCUGGCGGCGUGCUUAACACAUGCAAGUCGAACGGAAAGGCCCUGCUUUUGUGGGGUGCUCGAGUGGCGAACGGGUGAGUAACACGUGAGUAACCUGCCCUUGACUUUGGGAUAACUUCAGGAAACUGGGGCUAAUACCGGAUAGGAGCUCCUGCUGCAUGGUGGGGGUUGGAAAGUUUCGGCGGUUGGGGAUGGACUCGCGGCUUAUCAGCUUGUUGGUGGGGUAGUGGCUUACCAAGGCUUUGACGGGUAGCCGGCCUGAGAGGGUGACCGGCCACAUUGGGACUGAGAUACGGCCCAGACUCCUACGGGAGGCAGCAGUGGGGAAUAUUGCACAAUGGGCGGAAGCCUGAUGCAGCAACGCCGCGUGUGGGAUGAAGGCCUUCGGGUUGUAAACCGCUUUCGCCUGUGACGAAGCGUGAGUGACGGUAAUGGGUAAAGAAGCACCGGCUAACUACGUG
rnacentral:rRNA from 1 species